rnacentral:rRNA from 1 species
AUGGCGGCGAAGGUGCUCCAGCUCCGUAGCUCCGACGGCAAGGUGCUCGUCGCUCCGGCGUGGGACUAUCGCCCGGCCGCCGCCCAAGCCCUCCCGCUAGAGACGCGGGUGUCCUCGCGCGCCCUCGAGAGGGUGCUCCAGUACUGGACCAAGCACAGCCUUGCCAAGGCCACCGGUGAGUCCCGGGAGUCCCUGGCCCGCUGGGACGCCGACUUCCAGCGCCGCCUCGAGGAAGACGGCCUCGCCAAGGAGGCCGCCGCAGCCGCCCAAGAACUCCGCCGCUACGGCGUCGACCAUGGAGGGCGUCCCCAUCACCACGCCGCCACGGCCGCAUCUGAUGUCGCUGCUCCUGCCAAGGCGGCCCGUGUUGAUCCCGUCCGUGUCUGGUGUGUCAACCACGGAGAACGCAGCCAUGCGCCGGCGAUGCCCGGCUCCUUCGAUGCCUCUGAUACUGCCACCACCUUGCCGGCCGCUGCUGGUGCUGACCCCGGGGACGUCCGGUGCGCGAUCCGUGCCCGUGGGCGCCAGAUGGCUGAAGACGAGGAGUCCGCUUGCCACCACCGCAAGGGCCCGGCUUCCAAGGCUCCACUCUGCCUGCCUGCCACUGCUGCUGCGCCUGUGAAGAAGGUCUCUCGUCAGGUCGCUUCCAAGGCUUGCUCUAUCGUCGGCUCUACACCACUGCCUGCCACUGCUGCUGCGCCCAGUGUGCAACCGAAGCCGCAGAUCAGCAUGCGCGAACUGAUUGUGAACGCUCGCCUCACCAUGGCUCGCCUCGACAAGGCUCGCUCUGCCUCCGAAGAAGAGGCCAGCCGUCGGCGCGACAUUGAGCGCAGCCGAGCGGAGGCCCGGCGAAAGGUGGAGCAGAUGGUGAACACCGUGCAGUUCAACGACCCGUGGAUCCAUUACUCCGACGUGACCAAGUCCCCUGAGGAGCUGCUCCAAGCACGACAGCAAGCAUGGCGUUAUCAAGCUCACCUCCUCGAGAUGGCUCGUCGACGGGACUUUGCUGAAGCGAUGCAAAUCCACAGCACCAAGGAAGCAACCAAUUCCUUGGCUUCGUCCAGUGGUAUUACGCUUUCCCUGGUCUUUUAG